CUGACAGGAACGCAGGAGUAAAACAUCCUCUGUGCAGCACUGCAUCACACUCAAUGACCGGUCCAACCCAGAGCUUUUCUCCAACCUGCAGCAGUCCCUCAGGGACCAGUGACACUACCCAGGCAAAUCAGGGUCGGGAAUGCCGCACCACCCUGCUCUUAACCACACAGCCAGUUAUAGUGCCACAUAUGCAAAAAGAUGGGGCACAAAUGCAGAGAUUCCCCCCAGAACCGAGCCCGGGCUCAGUGGAUUUGCCCAGGGCCACCCCCAGCCACCAGGGCAGUGACCCACUAUUUCCAGACGGAGACCUCCACCCGAUAUGUAACUCCUGCACCACCAGUAGAAAAUUGGGAAGUCUUGCAUGAAGCGGACCCAGUGCAAGCGGCCUCAGUUAAUCGCCAGCAUCACUGGUAGAUCAUGAACCUUCAGAGUAAGGGGGUUCAAGGGCUCCCUGAACCUCCAGAUGGCACAGAACCGCCAGCGAAUAUGGUACAAUGGGGCGCCAGGGACCGUAGCUUUCAGGUAGAGCAGAAAGUUUUAAUUUUGAAACUUGUCCAGAAU